rnacentral:rRNA from 1 species
UCUUCCGCAAUGGACGAAAGUCUGACGGAGCAACGCCGCGUGAGUGAUGACGGUUUUUGGAGCGUAAAACUCUGUUGUUAGGGAAGAACNAGUAUCGUUCGAAUAGGGCGGUACCUUGACGGUACCUAACCAGAAUGCCACGGCUAACUACGUGCCAGCAGCCGCGGUAAUACGUAGGUGGCAAGCGUUGUCCGGAAUUAUUGGGCGUAAAGCGCGCGCAGGCGGUUUCUUAAGUCUGAUGUGAAAGCCCACGGCUCAACCGUGGAGGGUCAUUGGAAACUGGGAGACUUGAGUGCAGAAGAGAAGAGCGGAAUUCCACGUGUAGCGGUGAAAUGCGUAGAGAUGUGGAGGAACACCAGUGGCGAAGGAGGCUCUUUGGUCUGUAACUGACGCUGAGGCGCGAAAGCGUGGGGAGCGAACAGG